rnacentral:rRNA from 1 species
UACAGAGGCCUCGAGCGUUAGGCGGAAUCACUGGGCUUAAAGCGUGUGUAGGCGGACUUCUAAGUGCCUUGUGAAAUCCCACGGCUUACCCGUGGAACUGCUGGGUAUACUGGUUGUCUUGAGCCACUUAGGGGCUACCGGAACAAAUGGUGGAGCGGUGAAAUGCGUAGAUAUCAUUUGGAACGCCAAUGGUGAAAACAGGUAGCUGGGAGUGUGCUGACGCUGAGACACGAAAGCCAGGGGAGCGAACGGG